CUACGGGAGGCUCCAGUGAGGAAUAUUGGUCAAUGGACGAGAGUCUGAACCAGCCAUCCCGCGUGCAGGAUGACGGCCCUAUGGGUUGUAAACUGCUUUUCUAUACCAAGAAACCUGUCUACGUGUAGACAGUUGCCGGUAGUAUAGGAAUAAGCAUCGGCUAACUCCGUGCCAGCAGCCGCGGUAAUACGGAGGAUGCAAGCGUUAUCCGGAGUCAUUGGGUUUAAAGGGUGCGCAGGUGGGAUAGUAAGUCAGUGGUGAAAGCUUGCCGCUUAACGGUAAAACUGCCAUUGAUACUGCUGUUCUUGAGUGUGGUUGAGGUAGGCGGAAUGUGUUGUGUAGCGGUGAAAUGCAUAGAUAUGACACAGAACGCCGAUUGCGAAGGCAGCUUACUAAGCCAUUACUGACGCUGAGGCACGAAAGCGUGGGGAGCGAACAGGAUUAGAUACCCCCGUAGUC
rnacentral:rRNA from 1 species